rnacentral:rRNA from 1 species
UACGAAGGGGGCUAGCGUUGCUCGGAAUCACUGGGCGUAAAGCGCACGUAGGCGGCUUUUUAAGUCAGAGGUGAAAUCCUGGAGCUCAACUCCAGAACUGCCUUUGAUACUGAGGAUCUUGAGUUCGGGAGAGGUGAGUGGAACUGCGAGUGUAGAGGUGAAAUUCGUAGAUAUUCGCAAGAACACCAGUGGCGAAGGCGGCUCACUGGCCCGAUACUGACGCUGAGGCGCGAAAGCUAGGGGAGCAAACAGG